ensembl:lncRNA
AUGGUUUUGUGCACACCUGCCCACACAAACAAACAUACAUGAACUACAACAAAGUUUAAAACCAUUUAUUUAAGCGGACAUGGUUGGUGCACCAACUGUGUCACUGGAAAAAGAUAAAUGGAUUACCGACUUGUUGGAGAGUUUGUGACUUGAGAAAUGGUGCUGGCCACCUCCUAUGUUCAUUGUUCUGGCUUGGGGAAGUCUUGAGUCUUGUCAUGUCAGGGCAGCAGACGGUGGCAUUGGAAAGCAUGAGGUGCCAUGUGUUGCUCAACUCAGUCCAAGCCUGGCAUGAGGCCCACUCCUUCCUUUGCUCUGGUGACUCGAGUCGGGGAGAAUGAGAGCCUGGGGGCUGUUUGUGUUUAUGCGCGUGUGAGCAGAUGUGUGUAUGUGUUUAACUCUCAUUCACCCUUUAAGCAUCCAAUGGCAGCACCUUUGCAAGGGCACAAAAGCCUUGUGUGUACAUUUGUAUAUGUGUGCCUUGGUGUGUGUGUGUGUGUGUGUGUGUGUGUGUGUGUGUGUGUGUGUGUGUGUGUGUGUGUGUGUGUGUUUGUAUGUGUGUGUGUGUGUGUGUGUGUGAACAUGUGACAAGCC